rnacentral:rRNA from 1 species
GCAGUAGCCGCGGGAAUACAGAGGGUGCGAGCGUUAAUCGGAUUUACUGGGCGUAAAGCGUGCGUAGGCGGCUUUUUAAGUCGGAUGUGAAAUCCCUGAGCUUAACUUAGGAAUUGCAUUCGAUACUGGGAAGCUAGAGUAUGGGAGAGGAUGGUAGAAUUCCAGGUGUAGCGGUGAAAUGCGUAGAGAUCUGGAGGAAUACCGGUGGCGAAGGCGGCCCCCUGGACAAAGACUGACGCUCAGGUGCGAAAGCGUGGGGAGCAAACAGGAUUAGAUACCCCAGUAGUCCCUGUCUCUUAUAC